AACCCAGGAUGCGGAGGUUGCAGUGGGUUGAGAUGGCACCACUGCACUCCAGUGUGGGUGACAGAGCGAGAGCCUGUCUUACAAAAAAUAGUGCUGCUGCGUGUGUGAGGUCAGUAGGUGGGCUGAAGGGAGAAAUGGAAAUGACUGAGGACUUAAGAAAAUUAGUGUUCUGGAAAGUUAAGCAGAGGAUUUAUUCCAAAAUUUAAAGCAGAAGGAUUAAGAUGAAAAUUCUGAAGCAGAAUUAAGAAAUGUGAAGGUUGGAACUAAGAGAUGGAAUAUCCAACUAAGGAGCCUAUGGA